rnacentral:rRNA from 1 species
CCUACGGGUGGCAGCAGUGGGGGAUAUUGCACAAUGGGGGAAACCCUGAUGCAGCGACGCCGCGUGUGGGAAGACGGUCCUCUGGAUUGUAAACCACUGUCCCCAGGGACGAAGAUGCCGGUACCUGGGGAGGAAGCUCCGGCGAACUACGUGCCAGCAGCCGCGGUAAUACGUAGGGAGCGAGCGUUGUCCGGAAUUACUGGGUGUAACGGGAGCGUAGGCGGGACUGCAAGUUGGGUGUCAAAUCUACCGGCUCAACCGGUAGCCGCACUCAAAACUGCAGUUCUUGAGUGAAGUAGAGGCAGGCGGAAUGCCUAGUGUAGCGGUGAAAUGCGUAGAUAUUAGGAGGAACACCAGUGGCGAAGGCGGCCUGCUGAGCUUUUACUGACGCUGAGGCUCGAAAGUGUGGGGAGCAAACAGGAUUAGAUACCCUUGUAGUC